UUGAACGCUGGCGGCAUGCCUUACACAUGCAAGUCGAACGGCAGCGCGGACUUCGGUCUGGCGGCGAGUGGCGAACGGGUGAGUAAUACAUCGGAACGUACCCUGUUGUGGGGGAUAACUAGUCGAAAGAUUAGCUAAUACCGCAUACGACCUGAGGGUGAAAGUGGGGGACCGGAAACGGCCUCAUGCAGCAGGAGCGGCCGAUGUCUGAUUAGCUAGUUGGUGGGGUAAAGGCCCACCAAGGCGACGAUCAGUAGCUGGUCUGAGAGGACGAUCAGCCACACUGGGACUGAGACACGGCCCAGACUCCUACGGGAGGCAGCAGUGGGGAAUUUUGGACAAUGGGGGCAACCCUGAUCCAGCAAUGCCGCGUGUGUGAAGAAGGCCUUCGGGUUGUAAAGCACUUUUGUCCGGAAAGAAAUCGCGCUGGUUAAUACCUGGCGUGGAUGACGGUACCGGAAGAAUAAGCACCGGCUAACUACGUG
rnacentral:rRNA from 1 species